UAAUGUGCAAAUCUAGGUGUCAGAGUCUGGAGGAAGAGUGGAGAAACACAGAAUUCAAGUUGUUUGAUGUCCAGGGUAAAGUUUCCAUAGUCAGAGAUGAUUUGGGGUACCAUGUCUUCUGGUGGUGUUGGUCCUCUAUUUUAUCUGAAGUCCCAGGUCA